GACGAACGCUGGCGGCGCGCCUAACACAUGCAAGUCGAGCGAGAACCGGGGCUUCGGCCCCGGGGACAGCGGCGAACGGGUGAGUAACACGUGGAUAACCUGCCCUCGGCACCGGAAUAGCCCGGGGAAACUCGGAUUAAUGCCGGAUAGCCCCACAUCCCUGCGGGGAACGUGGGAAAAGGUAGCUUCGGCCUCUGGCCGGGGAUGGGUCCGCGGUGGAUUAGCUUGUUGGCGGGGUAACGGCCCACCAAGGCGACGAUCCAUAGCUGGUCUGAGAGGACGAUCAGCCACACUGGGACGGAGACACGGCCCAGACUCCUACGGGAUGCAGCAGUGGGGAAUCUUGCGCAAUGGGCGAAAGCCUGACGCAGCGACGCCGCGUGUGGGAAGAAGGCCUUAGGGUUGUAAACCGCUUUCAGGAGAGACGAAGCCACUCGGGUUAAUAGCCCAGAGGGUGACGGUACCUCCAGAAGAAGCCCCGGCUAACUACGUGCCAGCCGCCGCGGUAAUAC
rnacentral:rRNA from 1 species